rnacentral:lncRNA from 1 species
GAACGACUGGAAGUACAGGUGGUUGGCCUGUACAUGGGGGAGGGGGUGGAUCUGGUACUUGGAAAGAUGAGCUGCAGAUCAGCCAGCCUUUGCCACCGUAGGCAGCACCAUGCAGAAGAACAGCUGGGGUCCUGCCUGCCUGUGGACAGGAAGUCCUGUUUCCCACAAAAGCUGAGCUCCAGAGGAGUUGGUGCCCUCAAGAAGUGAGAUGUCAGCUCAGCCUACACCCAUCGUCUGCUUAUGAUGUGAUUUGGUACAAGGUGGUCUGAACAGGUCUUCAUGCCCUACUUCCUGUUGCGACAUGCGUCCGACAGCCGGUGAUCUCUCUGACCCGGCUGGCAGCGCAGUGGCUGGAGAUGGGCCGCAACACGUGGUGGAGAAUGUGGGCACCCAUCGUGGGGCAUUGAAGAGUGCCAACCCCCCAGCAAAUGUGAGGUAUUGAGGACAUCUCAGAGAGACUAACAGUGUGAGGCCCUAGAACACUGUGGGCUUUGGUACUCAGGAGUGAGGUUUUGCGAGGAUCAGCAGAGAAGAGUGGGGAUGUAAGCUUUCAAUUUUAAGUCUUGCUUUCAUUUAAAAGCUGCCAAAGAAGACCCUAAAACAAUUACAUCAACACUUUAAGAUCAAAAUAAUCAACCCCCACUCCCCUCUAGAAUUUUUCUUAAAUUUAAUUGAUUUCUUUUGAGAUGCAUUCAUUGUGUUGUUGUUUUGUUAUGUUGUCAGGAUGCUAAGAGAUUAUUUUUCAUUUCAAUAAAGUAAUAAUUUAAAUUUUCA